rnacentral:rRNA from 1 species
AGUCGCCGCGGGAAAACGUAGGGGGCAAGCGUUAUCCGGAAUUACUGGGUGUAAAGGGAGCGUAGACGGUUAAACAAGUCUGAAGUGGAAUGCCGGGGCUCAACCCCGGAGCUGCUUUGGGAACUGUAGAACUGGAGUGUCGGAGGGGUAAGCGGAAUUCCCAGUGUAGCGGUGAAAUGCGUAGAUAUUGUGAGGAACACCAACGGCGAAAGCACUCUGCUGGGCCGACACUGACACUGAGAGACGAAAGCUAGGGGAGCAAAUGGGAUUAGAUACCCCUGUAGUCCCUGUCUCUUAUACA